ACGGGAGGCAGCAGUGAGGAAUAUUGGUCAAUGGGCGAGAGCCUGAACCAGCCAUGUCGCGUGCAGGAAUACGGCCCUAUGGGUUUUAAACUGCUUUUGCCUGGGGAUAAAGUGGCGGACUUGUCCGUUAUUGCAGGUACCAGGCGAAUAAGGAUCGGCUAACUCCGUGCCAGCAGCCGCGGUAAUACGGAGGAUCCGAGCGUUAUCCGGAUUUAUUGGGUUUAAAGGGAGCGUAGGCCGUGCUUUAAGCGUGUUGUGAAAUGUAGGCGCCCAACGUCUGCACUGCAGCGCGAACUGGAGCACUUGAGUACGCAGGAAGUAGGCGGAAUUCGUCGUGUAGCGGUGAAAUGCUUAGAUAUGACGAAGAACUCCGAUUGGGAAGCCAGCUUACUGUAGCGCCACUGACGCUGAUGCUCGAAAGCGUGGGUAUCGAACAGGAUUAGAUACCCUGGUA
rnacentral:rRNA from 1 species